CGAAAUGUUAUUUGUUCUCUUUUUCUUCCAGAAACAAAAGGUUCCAAUUCCAAACCCCAAAUUGCAGAGGCCAGUUCUCAGCUGAUAGUGGUUUACGUUGUAUGUCUUUUAUCAGUUCCCUGACAAUGGAGCUGGUAAUUACAGUGAUCGCCCAACUAUCUUUUCAGAUUGAGUGAUCCGCACUGAUAUAAUCCUUCUUUCCCUAAAUCAGCGGCAGCAUCAUCUGGAUCAUCUGGAAUUUGUGAGGAAGGGAAGAGGAGCCUUUGCUCAGCUUGUAGAAGCUUGGAAACUGUUUCCUGGGAAUUACCUCCGCCUGCUGUCGCCCAGCCACUGCAGGACUUUGAGUUUACAGACAAGCUGCAGUAGAUGA
rnacentral:lncRNA from 1 species